rnacentral:lncRNA from 1 species
ACAGACAGAAAAGACUUGGAGGUAAAGGGUAGGAAAAGGAUACAACACACGAGAGAGGGACAAGACUGGGUUGUUUUUAGCUUAACACUUGCCAAGUGAAAAAGCAAACAUGAGUCAUAGUAAAGGUAACUCAAAGUGUGAUGUGACUGCAAUGGAGAGCAGAGCAGACCACACUGCAUGAGUCAGCAGCACAGAUAAAAAGGGUGAUAAGAAGCAGCAGAUGGGACAUGUCUUUACUAAAACAACCCUGCAGGACACAGGCCUUCUUUGCUCUAAUGAAACGGCCGUGCCAAGCUGCCACACGCUGGCUCGUACACUUGCCAUCCUGUGAAUCAAAGAACGCCACGCAUGGUUAGAAAAGCAGCAGGCAAACAGCUGCCGACAGAUCCACAGGCAAAAAAAAAAGCACAGAAAGCAACGCAACAGCACCGCCCCGACACUCACACACGCUGACGAGUGCCUGGGACGCCACCCUCCAAACCACUCAGGCAUCGGGGUGGGGAGGAAGAGAAGAGGGGAAGGAAGCUGUCACUGGGAUCAUGGCAUUCAACCUGGCCGUCAGCCAGCUUCUCCCUUCCUGCGAGUCAGACUUGGCUUUCCUGGGCUGAAAACCCUGUUUUGCUGCAAGAGCAGAACUUUUAGCCCCGUGUUCUUGGGUAGCAGAUAUGCAAGGCCACAUUACCUGCAAAAUCCAAAUGCUGCCCUGGCCACAUCAACAACCUGCAGUGGUGGUUCCUCACUGUUAGGAUCCCUCCACUUCUGAACCUGGUCAGGAAAGAUGAAGGUCCUCUGUCACAAGCUCAGAUGAGUAUAGAGGCAAACAUAAGGCAAAGCUCAAAUCAGCUUUCAUCUCACUUCUUGGAUGAGGUAAAAUUAUACCCUGCCUGUAAGGGGCAAGAUGGAAAGUAAAAUGCUCUAUUUUUAGACACGAGAUCCUGCUUCAUCAGGUUCAUCUAAUUUCUAAGAAACAAACUUUGGCAAAGGUCUGCUGCUGAAGGGGAUGAAACAUGACUUGUUUAAUUUUUUUUUUUAGUGCAGCUCAUAGCAUGACUAGCAUAAAUCUGAGGAAAUCUGCUUUAGCCACAUAGACACACCAGCUGUUUUAUUUGGGAUAGUCCCUAUAUUUUAGCAAUAUAUAUGGAAAGAGAGAGUUCGCUUUCCCAAAUCUGUCCUGCCAAAAUAUGCAUGUUAUGUCCAAGCAUUUCAAUGGAGUUAGAAUGUUUGUCUGUUCCUCCUGCUCCAAACAUUCUUAUUUAUAGAUUUCAAAAUUUGACAGGUAAGUCGAGGAAGAGCAGUUGCUGAGCCUAACACACUCUGCACAGCAACAGAUCUGUUGUAACAGAUUACAGGCAGAGAGAGAGAGACAGGAAAGUGUUGUACUUUUCUUCUUUACACAAGUCCUUGCUUUCAAAUGCAGCUUUAUGGAGACAACGACAACAAGGGCUUGUCUAAAAUAAAGCUGGACUGACAGCCA